rnacentral:rRNA from 1 species
UGUGGUGGCGAUAGCAAGAAGGAUACACCUGUUCCCAUGCCGAACACAGAAGUUAAGCUUCUU